rnacentral:rRNA from 1 species
GACGAACGCUGGCGGCGUGCCUAACACAUGCAAGUCGAGCGACGAACCAGGGCUUGUUCUGGGGUUAAGUAGCGAACGGGUGAGUAACACGUGGGUAACCUACCCCGAUAACCGGGUCAACUCGCGUAAACUCGGGCUAAUACCGGACGUGUUCUCUGGUCUUCGGUUUAGUGCGUUAAGGAAGUUUCGUUUUCCGUUUCGGGAGGGGUCCGCGGCCCAUUAGUUUGUUGGUGAGGUAACGGCUCACCAAGACCGCGAUGGGUAGCUGGACUGAGAGGACGAUCGGCCACACUGGAACUGAGACACGGCCCAGACUCCUACGGGAGGCAGCAGUAGGGAAUCUUGCGCAAUGGGCGAAAGCGUGACGCAGCAACGCCGCGUGAGGGAAGAAGGCCUUCGGGUUGUAAAACCCUGUCAGGAGGGACGAAGAUACGGCGAUGAAUAGCCGUCCGGACUGACGGUACCUCCACAAGAAGCCCCGGCUAACUACGUG